UACGUAGGGGGCUAGCGUUGUCCGGAAUCAUUGGGCGUAAAGAGCGCGUAGGCGGCCAGAUAAGUCCGGUGUGAAAGUCAAAGGCUCAACCUUUGAAUGCCGCUGGAAACUGUCUGGCUAGAGUCCGGGAGGGGCAGAGGGAAUUUCCGGUGGAGCGGUGAAAUGCGUAGAGAUCGGAAAGAACACCAACGGCGAAAGCACUCUGCUGGGCCGACACUGACACUGAGAGACGAAAGCUAGGGGAGCGAAUGGG
rnacentral:rRNA from 1 species